CAGCCGUCCUCCGAUAUCGUGGCAUUCCUUAAAGGCUUGGACAUUGAUGUGCCAGACGAUUUUCCGUUCCCUGCCACUGCUCCGCCAGCGCUACCCAUGCUCCCCACCGAAAGCAACGCCAUGUGAACCAGAAAGACUGAACCAGAUGUCGCGGAGCAUGGACCGCCAUCGGAGCCUACACCAGGCCACACGCAAGUUAAUUGUGACUGGGUUCUGAACUUUGUUUAAUCUUACACUUAGGCCACACGCAAGUUAAUUGUGACUGGGUUCUGAACUUUGUUUAAUCUUACACUGCUGGUUACCUAGGAACUCGGGAC